rnacentral:lncRNA from 1 species
AAAAGAAGCAAAAGAAGUCAAAGAAUCUGAAUUGAAAUUUCCCUUCAAUUCACUCACAUUUAAUGCGCCAGUUAUUCUGGAGGGUGCAGACGGAUUUCUUCAACACAAGACCAUUGGAAUUGGUCCUAAUCAUCUCUAUUUAAAAGAGCCAUGUCCUUCAGAACUGAUCAUCGUAUAAUCUUGCUAUUGCUGUGAACAAUGAUCUCCUGGUUCUGCUCAUUUCACUUAGCAUCAAUUCAUAAGCUGUGUUUAAAAUGAAAACUGAGCCAUGCCCAAUGAGUUGCAGAAAAAGGAACUUGGAGACAGCAAUACAUGUGUAUGGGGGAAAAGGAUUAAUGAAUUUCUUCCUCACCAGAUACUGCUGUUAUGAAGUCAGAUUCCAAAGAAACAUUGAUGGCUGAGAUUUUAUAUGGAGAUUGUACAGUUUGUACCAAAGAGGAUUUCUUCUACUGAACCAAAGGCUAAUAUGCUGAAAAUAGCCUCAAGUUGUUUUUGGAUAUUUUGAUUGGUAGUGGAAAAAAAUAUUCCUGGAGCCUUUUCUGUCCUUUAACUAUUGUGCAAAAACCUUUCUUACAGUUUGUUGAGAAGCUGUAAUAGAGUGACUAUUGUUUUUAAUGCUUCAUUGAUGCUUUGAGUUUUUAUGUCACAAUGUUUUCAGGAUACAUAUUUUCUUUUCACAUUACAAAAACGAUCCUAUAUUGUUUAAUUCAGGGUUCAAAUCUAAACAGUUGUACAAAACUUUCCUCAUUAGUGGGGAGAAUGAUGCCUGACUGUUCUAUACUUUCAUAAGAGGUGGAGUUAAUGAGAGCCAAGAAUGAGGGAGAAUGUUCUCUCCUGAAACCAGAUACCCAAAAAACAAUUCUCAUCUUUUAAGUUCUCUCCAGUUCUACCUUUUAGGUAGAUUCAAAGUGAUGAGUAAUAAUUCUCUUUAGCAAUGAAGAGAGUUCUCUUUAGCAAUGAAGAUAAAUUUUUACAAAAAAUUUAGGUUCAAAUCCUAGAUUACCUUUGUAACAAAGAAAAUCAGUGAAGCAAACUGACAAUAAUGGCAUGCAAGAGUAUAGUGUAAUUGUAUUACUAAUCCCCUAUCUUUCUAUUGCAAGGAAGGAGAUGAUUACACACGUUUUCUCCAGGGUUCACCUUUAUUCUAG